rnacentral:misc_RNA from 1 species
AAAGGACUCGUCAUCUCUCUUCCUCUCCCUCGUCUCGUCUUUCCUGCGUGCACAACAGGAUCCUUCGCCUUGCUACUGUUCGGCGCUUCCACUGCACAACAGUAUUUUCUACAGCUAGGAAGGAGCCAGAGCGCCCAUGGACAUGACCUCCAACACCAGCAACAGCGCUGCAGCAGCAUCAUCGGCUCCCCACAACCACCAGCCGGAGUACAAGGAAUGUCGUCACUAGAACUAUCCUCCCCGCUCCCUUCACCGGAGCUGCUCGUUGUCUGCCAUUCAAGUUUGGUCGCGUCUUCAUCAACUUUGUUAGACGCACCAGUGCAGACCACAUCCAUACUAGGCUGCUCGUUGUCUGCCAUUCAAGCUGGUUCCAUCGAUAAAGGGAUAUACUGUUAGUCUGAUAUACUGGUUCCAUCAAUAAGGGAACUUGGAGAAAAGGUGAUUCAAAAGAAAUCGAG